ensembl:piRNA 21ur-3889 ncRNA
UUUCACAUUCCAUUGAAAUAG